rnacentral:rRNA from 1 species
AUUGAACGCUGGCGGCAGGCCUAACACAUGCAAGUCUGGCGAGCGGCGGACGGGAGAGUAAUGUAUGGGGACUGCCUGAUGUAGGGGUAUAACUAUUGGAAACUGUAGCUAAUACCUCAUACCAUAAGCUCACCCAUAUGGGAUUCGCUAGUAGGUGAGGUAACGGCUCACCUAGACGACGAUCCCUAGCUGGCCUGAGAGGAUGAUCAGCCGAACUGGGACUGAGACACGGCCCAGACUCCUACGGAGGCAGCAGUGGUGAAUAUUGCACAAUGGGCGCAAGCCUGAUGCAGCCAUGCCGCGUGUAUGAAGAAGGCCUUGGGGUUGUAAAGUACUUUCAGUCGGGAGGCGUUACCGACAGAAGAAGCACCGGCUAACGCCGUGCCAGCAGCCGCGGUAAUAC